rnacentral:rRNA from 1 species
CACGUAGGGGGCGAGCGUUGUCCGGAUUCAUUGGGCGUAAAGGGCGCGCAGGCGGCCCGGAAAGUCGGAUGUGAAACUCGGGGCUCAACCCCGAGCGUGCACCCGAUACUGCCGGGCUUGAGGCAGGUAGGGGAGAGUCGGAAUUCCUGGUGGUAGCGGUGAAAUGCGCAGAUAUCAGGAGGAACACCGGUGGCGAAGGCGGAUCUCUGGGCCUGUCCUGACGCUGAGGCGCGAAAGCUAGGGGAGCGAACAGG